rnacentral:rRNA from 1 species
ACUGCUCAGUAACACGUGGAUAACCUGCCCAAGGGUCCGGGAUAACCCCGGGAAACUGGGGAUAAUACCGGAUGGAUCACUAGUGCUGGAAUGCUUGGUGGUCGAAAGGUAACGCCUUUGGAUGGGUCUGCGGCGGAUUAGGUUGACGCCGGUGUAACGUACCGGCGUGCCUGUAAUCCGUACGGGUUGUGGGAGCAAGAGCCCGGAGAUGGAUUCUGAGACACGAAUCCAGGCCCUACGGGGCGCAGCAGGCGCGAAAACUCUACAAUGCAGGCAACUGCGAUAGGGGGACAUCGAGUGGCAUCCACCUUGGGUGCCUGUCCAACCGUCUAAAAAACGGUUGUUAGCAAGGGCCGGGUAAGACCGGUGCCAGCCGCCGCGGUAAUACCGGCGGCUCGAGUGGUGGCCGAUAUUAUUGAGUCUAAAGGGUCCGUAGCCGGCUUUGCAAGUCCCCUGGGAAAUCCAGCGGCUUAACCGUUGGGCUUUCACGGGAUACUACAUUGCUUGGGACUGGGAGAGGUAGGAGGUACUCGGGGGGUAGGGGUGAAAUCCUGUAAUCCUCCGGGGACCACCGGUGGCGAAGGCGUCCUACCAGAACAGGUCCGACGGUGAGGGACGAAAGCUAGGGGCACGAACCGGAUUAGAUACCCGGGUAGUCCUAGCCGUAAACGAUGCCCGCUAGGUGUCACGACGGUCGUGAAUCGUCGUGGUGCCGUAGGGAAGCCGCGAAGCGGGCCACUUGGGAAGUACGGCCGCAAGGCUGAAACUUAAAGGAAUUGGCGGGGGAG